rnacentral:rRNA from 1 species
GACGAACGCUUUCUUCGUGCUUAACACAUGCAAGUCGAACGGAAAGGCCCUGCUUUUGUGGGGUGCUCGAGUGGCGAACGGGUGAGUAACACGUGAGUAACCUGCCCUUGACUUUGGGAUAACUUCAGGAAACUGGGGCUAAUACCGGAUAGGAGCUCCUGCUGCAUGGUGGGGGUUGGAAAGUUUCGGCGGUUGGGGAUGGACUCGCGGCUUAUCAGCUUGUUGGUGGGGUAGUGGCUUACCAAGGCUUUGCCGGGUAGCCGGCCUGAGAGGGUGACCGGCCACAUUGGGACUGAGAUACGGCCCAGACUCCUACGGGAGGCAGCAGUGGGGAAUAUUGCACAAUGGGCGGAAGCCUGAUGCAGCAACGCCGCGUGCGGGAUGACGGCCUUCGGGUUGUAAACCGCUUUCGCCUGUGACGAAGCGUGAGUGACGGUAAUGGGUAAAGAAGCACCGGCUAACUACGUG